UGAACGCUGGCGGUAUGCUUAACACAUGCAAGUCGAACGGAAACGAUACUAGCUUGCUAGUAGGCGUCGAGUGGCGGACGGGUGAGUAACGCGUAGGAAUCUGCCUGAUAGUGGGGGAUAGCCCGAAGAAAUUCGGAUUAAUACCGCAUAAUCUAUUCGUAGUAAAGUGGGGGACUUUCGAGCCUCACGCUAUCAGAUGAGCCUGCGUAAGAUUAGCUAGUUGGUAGGGUAAAAGCCUACCAAGGCUACGAUCUUUAGCUGGUCUGAGAGGAUGAUCAGCCACAUCGGGACUGAGACACGGCCCGAACUCCUACGGGAGGCAGCAGUGGGGAAUAUUGGACAAUGGGGGCAAUCCUGAUCCAGCAAUACCGCGUGUGUGAAGAAGGCCUGAGGGUUGUAAAGCACUUUCAAUUGUGAAGAAAAGUUAACGGUUAAUAACCGUUAGCCUUGACGUUAACUUUAGAAGAAGCACCGGCUAACUCCGUGCCAGCAGCCGCGGUAAUACGGAGGGUGCAAGCGUUAAUCGGAAUUACUGGGCGUAAAGCGUGCGUAGGCGGUUUAUUAAGUCAGAUGUGAAAGCCCCGGGCUUAACCUGGGAACUGCAUUUGAAACUGGUCAACUAGAGUAUGGUAGAGGAAAGUGGAAUUUCUGGUGUAGCGGUGAAAUGCGUAGAUAUCAGAAGGAACAUCAAUGGCGAAGGCAGCUUUCUGGACCAAUACUGACGCUGAGGUACGAAAGCGUGGGUAGCAAACAGGAUUAGAUACCCUGGUAGUCCACGCCGUAAACGAUGAUAACUAGCCGUUGGGGGGAUUUACCCUUUAGUGGCGAAGCUAACGCGUUAAGUUAUCCGCCUGGGGAGUACGGCCGCAAGGUUAAAACUCAAAGGAAUUGACGGGGACCCGCACAAGCGGUGGAGCAUGUGGUUUAAUUCGAUGCAACGCGAAGAACCUUACCUGGUCUUGACAUCCUGCGAACUUUCUAGAAAUAGAUUGGUGCCUUCGGGAACGCAGUGACAGGUGCUGCAUGGCUGUCGUCAGCUCGUGUCGUGAGAUGUUGGGUUAAGUCCCGUAACGAGCGCAACCCCUAUCCUUAUUUGCCAGCACGUCAUGGUGGGAACUAUAAGGAGACUGCCGGUGAUAAACCGGAGGAAGGCGGGGACGACGUCAAGUCAUCAUGGCCCUUACGACCAGGGCUACACACGUGCUACAAUGGGAAGGACAAAGAGCCGCGAAGCCGCGAGGUGUAGCUAAUCUCAGAAACCUUUUCGUAGUCCGGAUUGGAGUCUGCAACUCGACUCCAUGAAGUCGGAAUCGCUAGUAAUCGUAGAUCAGAAUGCUACGGUGAAUACGUUCCCGGGUCUUGUACUCACCGC
rnacentral:rRNA from 1 species